UGUAAGCGUAUACCAAAGUUGUUGCAGUUAAAACGCUCGUAGUCGGAAUUUGGCAGUUCCGGAAGUGUGCACGUCGUGUGCGCACUUUGCGGGGACUGCUUUUGUGGUCUUGCGUAGGAUGAGGCACUUUCAUUAGCGAACGUCCUCACGCAACCACUCUUUACUGUGAGAAAAUCAGAGUGCUCAAAGCAGGCAUUUGCCGUGAAUGUAUUAGCAUGGAAUAAUAGAAUAGGACUCGGUUCUAUUUUGUUGGUUUGUUGGGACUGAGUAAUGAUUAAGAGGGACAGUUGGGGGCAUUUGUAUUUCGGCGCUAGAGGUGAAAUUCUUAGAUUGCCGAAAGACAAACUGCUGCGAAAGCGUCUGCCAAGGAUGUUUUCAUUGA
rnacentral:rRNA from 1 species